GUGGUUUUUGACAAUUGUCAAUAAAGAUUUGUUUGAAACCUCAGAGGCAGGUAGAAGUUUGUUUACUAGCAAUGAUGGUAACAAGGCAUAAAUGCUGCCUUGAUCAUCUGAGCCAUCCUGUGUGCCGAAAGUUGUUUAGAGAAAGGAAGAUGUGGACAGUAUGGAGCGUCCAUUUUGCAAAGAGAAUUGGAGGAAUGCCGGUUCAAACCCUGGAACAAUAAGUGUGCCACUACCACAACUGAGGUGCCUUUGAGCAACUAACUAACCCCAAACUGCUCAGCGGCCAACAGAUUGUUGUACUUGGCAGCUCCCAGUAUGAGGAGAGAGCUAAAACCAGAAGCAAAGGAAAAAAAGAGGACAUGUGGAGCAGGAGAGAUUGAUGGACCUCGGAGGGGAGAGAAUUCAGUUCCUGAAAGACUUUUGAGAAAAGCAAGCUUGUUUCCAUUCUAGGCUGAAGGGAACAUUUCAGAAGAUUACAUUUACAGUUGAGAAGAUUACAGCCAUGGUGUGACUGUAAAUCAAAAUGUGUGAUGACAGUGUGAUGCUGCACAGUGGGAUGCUGAGAUGUUGGGGAAUCCCCUGGACAACAGUUUCACUGCUGUGGUGCAGUGGAGUCAACAAGAGCAGAUCCUUGAGGAGAAAAACAGUCCGGGUUUUAUCAGCAGAAUACUGCAUGUGGCGUGUACUUUAAA